rnacentral:rRNA from 1 species
UACGUAGGGUGCGAGCGUUGUCCGGAAUUAUUGGGCGUAAAGGGCUCGUAGGCGGUUUGUCACGUCGGGAGUGAAAACUCGGGGCUCAACCCCGAGCCUGCUUCCGAUACGGGCAGACUAGAGGUAUGCAGGGAAGAAUGGAAUUCCUGGUGUAGCGGUGAAAUGCGCAGAUAUCAGGAGGAACACCGGUGGCGAAGGCGGUUCUCUGGGCAUUACCUGACGCUGAGGAGCGAAAGUGUGGGGAGCGAACAGG